rnacentral:lncRNA from 1 species
GUUGGGCGCGACGAGAGGACGAUCUAGCUAGCUUGCCGUAGCGACCGUCACCCUGGUUAUAUUUCAUUCCUGCAUUUAGUAGUUUAAUAAAUAAAUAGUUCAGUUAGAUGAUCACUAUGAAUGUUUGAAUGUUUGUGAACUGGUUUUAAUUGAUGAUUUACUGAUGCAUGAGAUUAGAGAUUUGUGGAUCCGUGGAUUUGGUUUUAUAGAUAUAUAGUUCUUGUAUUUAUGGAUUUAUGCAUCGUGGUUUUCUACCCCUCGACGUAGUCGGUUUUCAAAAUAGAGUUUUCGAGUGGAAAACAAUUUUAAAAGGUUUUCGAAUGGUUUGUGAAUGAUUGAAUUAGAGUUUAAAAAUAAAGCUUCCGAAAAUUCCAGGUGG